ensembl:lncRNA
CAGGACGCCUCUGUGGCCUAACUCUUGCAGAUGAUCGUUCCUACCUUUUGUGCGGACUGCUGAGACAUUAUAAUUCUAGUCCUACUAGAAUAAGCCUUAGUUUGGCGGGGAGCCACUGCUUCUCGCUAGCAAGCAGAGAAAGCUGCACAUGAGUGCUCCCCCUCCGGCAGGAUGCAAGAUAGUGCGGUCCUCGCCUCGCCAAGAAUAAGGCAAGCGAGAAGGGACGCACUUAUACCAACUCGCAAACCAAGAAGGCGAGGAUUUAGCUGUUGGCAGCGCCUCGGCGUUCCUCAAUAGAUGCCUGCGGGGAUCUCCCGAGAGGCGGAGAGCGAGCUUGGGCCCUGGCACCCUUCCCCCGCCGCAGAACCGCAGAAUGGGGGGAAUCAAAGCCACACUCAAGUACUCUCUGACGAUAUUGUCCCGAGUGCGUGGAAGGGCUGGCCUCUCUGGGAAUGGCCGCCUCCCUUGGAACAGAGGAUUCAGCAGCCACCAAGACCUUCCCUGGUCGCAGCCUUUCCCAGAGAGAUCUGGAGCUUCCGAGUGGGACCUUGGGCGCUCCUGACCCUGCCGCGGGGCGAAGGCUCUGACUGCCAUUCAGGUUGAAGCAGCGAAGUAGCGGCCUCCUGCCUCCUCCUCAAUCCUGGUAGAAGGAAGAAGAGUGCUGAUCUGUUUUUCCAGUCCACUGGACUGAGAGCAGAGGCUGCCUGAUCCCAGCCAAGCCACUUUUUGUCCUCCCAAGCUCUUCUGCUUUGAUGGGAUCCCGAUUUCUUUUUAAAAAUAAAAAAGUAGUGACGGGAAAUACACCAAAAUAUUCACAGUAGUUAACUACAAUGUAUUAUAUGUAUGUAACUUUCACUUUUUCGUUUUCAGUUUUUGCUUUAGAUGUGCCUAUUUUCUAUGUGUUUGCCAGAUUUUUACAGAAAGGGAUCCAUCAUAACCAGAAAAAAACUUAAGUAUUUAAAAUGCUUAUACAAUAUGAUCCCAGUAACAUAAACAUGCAUAGAAAAGAUGGGAAAGAAAUAUGAAGAAUUGUUAACAACAUGUUAUUUUUGAAUACUAGGAUAUGUUAUCCUGAUCUGUUUCACACUUUUCAAUAUUUUCCAUCUGGUAGAGGAAAUAAAAUAGAGUAAGAUAAACUAGGUCAUUUUGUUCAGUGGCCAAGAGGUACCAAAAUCAGAUAGUGAUUUCAAAAGCUCUUAGGAACUGUAAAGGAAGGUAAUGCAAUAUUUUUAUUAUGAAGUCAAGUUGGGAAUACUUCCUACUGUAAAGUACCAAAUCACUUUUGAGUAUUAGUCUUUCUGUAUGUAAAACUAUUUCUCCAUGGCAAAAGUAACUUGUAGAUAAGCUGCUAAAGAUUUCAGAACUACAAGUCAGAGUAAGCCCUACAGUGGCAAUAAAAUUCCAAACCCAUUCAGCCUGUCCACAAUAUUCCUGUUGUGAUGACUGCAGAACACACACUCAUGAGGUACUUGACUUCUUUCCCCACAGCUAAAUAAAGGAGAAAGAUUACCAUACUUGUCUCUCUGGACAUUUAUUAGUAAGGUUUGACUGAAUUAAUAAAGUCAAAAUAUCCUGCAGUUUCUGUGGAGAUAUGCCUUGACAUUUACAUCUGUGUGAAAAUCAAUAAAAUAUUUUUUCAAGCAGGCCCUAUAAACUUUUUCCUAUUUCUAUAAAAAAUUCAUGUCGUUUACUUGGCAAUCUUUUAAAAUGUCUAAAUAAACUUGUUAUAUUUUUUGUAAAUUUUAAUAAUAUUAUUAGUAAUAAUAUUAAAGAAAUAAAGGACUUUCUGCAGUGACAAGCUAAUGAGAUUACACAAGCUUUUUUGUGUAUAGCAACUUUUUUCAUUCUCAUAACAAUCCUCUGAAGACCAUAUCUCUGUUGAUAAAUAUGAGAAAAGGAAAGAACAGAGAUGUUAGAUAAAUAUUGUAACUCAUCAAUAAGAAGCUGGAAACUCAAUUCUUCUGAGCACCAGUUCAGGUACUCUAUCUCCCAUUAAUUGCCCUCUGAUACUGAAAUGGUUAAUAUAAUUUUAUACUUCUCUAGUAAUGUUUCAGUGCAUUUUUGUUACAGAAGUCUCAAAAAGAAUACAUAGGGCUGGGGAUUUAGCUCAGUGGUUUCGCCACCUGCUGCGCAAGGGCAGGGACCUGAGUUUGAUCCCCGGUACCAAAAAAAACAAAAACAAAAAAAAGAAUACAUAAAUUCUAUCUCCAUAAGCACUCAAAAAUGAAUUUUAUCUCACCCAUUAAAAAUAUCUAUGGAGCAUAAAACAGGUAGAAAUAAACUAACUUUUGUCUCUUGCAUAAAUUCCUAAAAGAUCUGUUGCUAAAGUGAAAUGGUGUCUGAGUUUCACAGGGAGGAAUUGGUGUAUUCUAUAUAUAUUCUCCUAUUACAAGUAGCAUGGGAAUAUUCAUAGAACAUAGAAUAGUUUGCAGAUAAUUACUAUUUUCUACUAUCAAGUAACUCUGGUGAGCCUUGCAGGUAUAUCAAGAACAUAAAUAGAUAGCUUUUAAAAUAAUUUAUUCUCAGAAAAACUUUAAUACUUGUAGCUCUUAGGUUCAAAAAAUCUUUCAGUAUAAUUUAAUAACUUUGCAUGGUGGUACAUUCGUGUAGUUAUAGCAUACUGGGAGGCUAAGGCAGGAAGAUCCCAAGUUUCAGCCCACCCUGGGCAACUUAGAGACAUAGUGAGACCAUAUAAAUACUACCUUAAAAGUGAUUUUAAAUAUUGGUUCUAUCAGUAAAUGUUUAAACAUGAUCAUGACUAUUGAACCACAUUAAAUCUUCAGUGUUUCUCAUAAAACAUAUCCAGGUAUAAAAUUUAAUAAUAAAUUCUCAGUUUUGAAUGCUCUGAAAGUGAAAAAAUAAAUGUUUAGUAGUACAGCUAAGAAAAUAAAUUAAUCAUUUUAAAUAAGUACAGCAUGUACAACAGUAUGUCAAUUUGGACUUAUUUUAUACCUCAGGUGUUUUGUCAAAUAAAAUAAAGGGAUAAACAGCAAUUAUGUUGGGAUAUGAUGUAAUCCUAUUUCACUGGACUCCAAAAGCUCAGGGUUGUUUUCUACAACCAAAGUUUUUACAUUAAUUACAGAGAUAUAUCAAGUAGUCUUGGUAAACUUUCUCAAUCACAAUAAAUCUAUUUACAUAAUCCAUACUUAUCCUAAGAAUCCUUCAUCUAAUCACCCUAGGCUUCUCUCUGAUAAUCUUGAAAGACGUUUCUUAAAUACUAAUGUUAACCUUCAGCAUUUCCUAGGUUUUCAUAUCCUCAUUAACACAAACUAAUAUUCUAGCCAACUUAUAAUGUGAAGAAUUACAAAUAAUUGAAUAAUUGUUUUGUACUGGGUCGAAUGAUGACAUAAAACAGCACAGAUGGGAAGAUAAAAUUUUGUAUGUCUCUCUAUAGGAAAUAGGAAUAUUUUUUUCUUUAGAGCAAUUCAAAAACAAAUAAGAGCCUCAAGAAUACUACUAACUCUGUUGAUCGUCUAGCAGAACAAUAAGAAUAGGGCCCUUGAGAAUUGUCUGAGUUUAUCGAAACUUCAUAUCUGCUUGUAUUACACCAAAGUAGACUAAUGUUAAUAUCUUAUUCUUAUACUCAAAUUCUUCUGAAAGCUUCUCUGCGCACCCUGAAAAUAUUAUUGGAUUCUCUUCAGUUUUCCUGUGUUCCCCAAAUGGUGUCCACUGCAAACAUUUGUUUUAUGUUGAGGAGCACUGGUCCAAAGACAAAAUCUGCGAGUCUAGGUAGUUUAAAAAUAAAAUUCUUCACACAAUUUUUCUGUUUUAGUUUUUUUGUUUUGUUUUGUUCCUUUUAGUGGAGUGGUUAAUAGGCCUUCCCCUAAAAAAAUAAAAUAAAAUUAGUCACUGAGGAUAUAACUUGAGGAUUGAUUCCUAUAUAUGACAUUUCAUGUAAAGGUUAUAACAAAAAUCAUAUGAUCUAAUACUAUAUAUAGGCAAAAGUAAGAUAUGUCUCCUUUCUAUGACAUUCUCUAGUGAGUUCCUCAAGUUCCUCAUUUCUGUCCCCAGGUCUCCUCAGUAACCGCCAACAUUGAUUCAUUGCUGCUUAAUGCCAAGUUGCCUAUGUAAUAAUUUCUUACAUUAUGGUCAUAACUGUUAACUUAUCACUGCAUUGCCUGCAAAGUAAUGUUUCAAUUGCUCAUCUUCAGCCAUGCUUGGGCUAUGAGGAACUCCUUAAAUGUCUCCACACUUCUCUCCAUCUUCCUCCCAAACUGUCAUACUUCUACAAAUGUUUCCCAAAUGAUAUCAUAAUUUUAAAGCCUUUCAAUCAUCAGAAAGACCCCCGUAACUAUCCUAGAAAAGAAGAAGACUGCCUGGACCAUGUGUGGCCUUGGACAUCCCAGAGAUUGACCACAUGGCUUAAAUCCUCUUGAGACUAAAUGCUAUAAAAUCUAAGAUUCUAAAUAAAAGGCAUAGUCAAGUCAAUAUAAUGAAUACCUAACUGUGCUGAAUUCUAAUUAUCCAUGACUCUUCUAUUUCCCAGCUUUUUCCUUGGUCAUGAACCAAAUGACCCACAUACUCCUGUAAUGACCCUCCUAUUUCUUGCUACCGGAAAACUUAACAACCUUAUUUUUCUCCUUAUUAUACAGUUCUUCUAAUAUAUUUAGCCAGCGAUGUGCUAAUAAAUGUACUAAACCACUUGUGCUCCAGGGAAGAUUAAAGGCUCUGAACUGUGUGUUUGCCCGUUUUCAUGUUAGAAAUACUCCUGAUUUCAACCUAUAUGAAAAUGAAGUUGGAAAUAGUUGUUCAGUUUUUCAGUAGCAACUAUAUAAUAUUUUCAUCAAACAGGUGUAAUAGACGCAAAUAACUUCAAGAACAUAGAGUGUAGUAAUUAAGAGGUGAUGAGUUCUGAAUAUGUAUUACUUUUGUUUUUAAUAUAAUUCACUGAACCCUAAGUUUCUGUAUAUUCAUUUUUAAUAUGCCCAUGCUUAACAGCAGACUGGAAAAACUUUUCUGCUGGAAGAAUAUGUGCAUUCUACAUAUUAUCUAUUGAAACUCAACAUCCAUUUAUAUCCUCUUUCAAAUCAGAAAUAGAUGACUAAAGUUUAUAUUUCUCAGAAUUUCUUGAAGCUGGCACUUUGCAAGUAAUUCAGGUUCUUUUGAAGAUAUUACCUUGUAUGAGAUUUGAAAGGUAGAAAGAAGCAUAAAUUAUUCUUCCUGCAACUCUGCUGGCCAAUGGACAAGCUCUGGUAAACUGAGUAUUAAAUGACUAAUUCAAAUUCCCCUUUCUAGUCUCCAGUUUUAUGGAAGAUGGACAACUGCCUAAUGACUAUCCCUGACUUCAGCUAGAAGGACCUUACAUUGCUUUGAGUACCUAAUUCCCUGCAUUAAAUAUCUUUCUGGUUAAAGUCUCUAAAGUGUUUGUUAUUGUCAUUGUUGUUUCUGCACUAAACCCUAAGAUAACACGCAUCCUUGGCAUCUGCUUUUUCCUUCUGUGACAUCAAAAAGAAACAUCAGUCCCCAGCGAGAGAGAGAGAGAGAGAGAGAGAGAGAGAGAGAGAGAGAAAUCACCAGCCCAAGUAUAGCCCUAGUUAGUCUUUUAGUCUGUUUGCCUACAUUAUUCCUGAUUUAAAUUUUUCCCUGAUGGUACUUUAUAUUUCAUUCACAUCCUGAGAUUAUGCUGUGAUAUUAAUCAAUUACUACUCUAUAAUUUCUUUUAGUAAACCUUGGAAAGAGUCAAAGAAAUGAAUGUUUAAGUAAGGAGAGAAGGGAAAUAACAAUUCUUGUUUAUUAUUACUAUUUUUAUAACAUCAGAGACUUGACAUUUUCUACUUGUUCGCUUUUUUUAUAUUUAUUUAUACUAUGCUGCCU